UUACUAUCCUAGGGUCUCCUAAGUCCGUCUAAAUCAUUUAUAUAUAUAUUUUUUUUAUGCUCUGAUACCACAUUAUCUGUCACGCCCCGACACCCGCCUAUUUGGUCGGAUUCGAGGACGCCGACAGACUGCCGAACGGACAGAGUCUUCCCUGUACGUUCUAGGCGUCGCAAACAAUACAGUACAAGUGGUUCCAAAAAGGAACAGUAUUUAUACAACGAUUGCAUAAGGAAGUAUCAACAACAUAGAACAACUAUGCUAUUACAAGCAUUCACAUACGUACAUUUUACAUCUUACAUUUUUUCCGAUUAGCUUCCAAAUACAUUCAACAUUAUAACAACUUAUUACAAUUUGGUUCUUUCAUUUCCUUUCCACCCCUAAGCUAGACCAACUCAGAGUACUGCUAUCUCUGGUCACAGUGGUAGGGCGCUAUCUACGGAGCUACGCCCUUUCCUCGCGCCGCCGCGCCGCUCACGUGCGGACC
rnacentral:lncRNA from 1 species